rnacentral:rRNA from 1 species
UACGUAGGUGGCAAGCGUUAUCCGGAUUUAUUGGGCGUAAAGGGAGCGUAGACGGCUGAGCAAGUCUGAAGUGAAAGGCGGGGGCCCAACCCCCGGACUGCUUUGGAAACUGUAUAGCUAGAGUGCAGGAGAGGUAAGUGGAAUUCCUAGUGUAGCGGUGAAAUGCGUAGAUAUCAGGAGGAACACCGGUGGCGAAGGCGGCCUGCUGGACGGCGACUGACGUUGAGGCUCGAGAGCGUGGGUAGCGAACAGG